GCCUUGCUAGCUCAAUCGGUAGAGCGUGAGACUUUUAAUCUCAAGGUUGUGGGUUCGACCCCCGCGUGAGGCU
rnacentral:tRNA from 1 species